rnacentral:rRNA from 1 species
GACGAACGCUGGCGGCGUGCUUAACACAUGCAAGUCGAACGGAAAGGCCCUGCUUUUGUGGGGUGCUCGAGUGGCGAACGGGUGAGUAACACGUGAGUAACCUGCCCUUGACUUUGGGAUAACUUCAGGCAACUGGGGCUAAUACCGGAUAGGAGCUCCUGCUGCAUGGUGGGGGUUGGAAAGUUUCGGCGGUUGGGGAUGGACUCGCGGCUUAUCAGCUUGUUGGUGGGGUAGUGGCUUACCAAGGCUUUGACGGGUAGCCGGCCUGAGAGGGUGGCCGGCCACAUUGGGAUUGGGAUGCGGCCCAGACUCCUACGGGAGGCAGCGGUGGGGAAUAGUGCACAAUGGACGGAAGCCUGAUGCAGCAACGCCGCGUGCGGGAUGACGGCCUUCGGGUUGUAAACCGCUUUCGCCUGUGACGAAGCGUGAGUGACGGUAAUGGGUAAAGAAGCACCGGCUAACUACGUG